AAUCCCUGUACAAAGCAGUCCGAGGAACCUGUUGCCAAGUAAGGGCAGGGGGAAGGGCAAUGGCUUCAGCAGAAGAUACUGAGCAUGCUCACUACACCCUAAGUGGCAAAGGAAGAUGCAAAGCAGCUUUUCGCACUACACUGGCGGUGGCCGCUCAGUUCUUGGCCCAGCUGGCGCGGCACCCUGGGCGCCAGCCGAGAAGCCCGAGCCCCGCUGCGGAUACAACAAGAAUGCAAAACAGAAGAACACAUCAAGUCAGCAUCUCCAACAAAUAUGGAGUACUAUCAGAAAAACACUGCAAGAUCCAUUGUAGGCAAUUAAUCCAGUCAGAAGUGCACAACAAUAGCUCCUUCCUGGUAAAUAGAACCAAAAUGAGACAUGUAAAAUGAAACAGUCCAGGUUAUACUGAACUGAGAAUAAGAAAUUUCUGAAGAGUUAAAGAUUAAAGUUCCUCCCAUAAAAAGGCUGGAAAGAAAUGGAAAUAGAAACAUGAAUUUCUCUGUUAUAUUUGUGGUUUUGAAUAAUCUCAGUGAAGCAGAACCCAGAUAAAACACCUUAUAAGAAUA